GUUGUUUUUUACCCCAGCAUACUGUUGGAAGGGUUGCUCAGAAGGCAUUUGACUGAAGGGUACUUGGAAAGACCAAACCGAAACCACAGUAGUGACCAGAUACUUAGUGGCAGCCCCAGCUGCAGGAGGCAGCUGUAUGGAGGCCAAUAUGCAGACAAGGGAAGUAACUCAGGCAUUUUGGGGGAGAGGUACAGAAAGAAGAGAAAAGACUGAACUGACUGCUGUUCUGAACAAGAACUGUGACUAUAUGUGGUACUCCCAGAAUGGUGAGGUCUGGGACACUUGAAUAAUAUGGCUAUACUGUGAAUGAUGUUACCUAGACAGAAUGUUUAUCCCAGUUAAGUGAUAGGUAGGGAA
rnacentral:lncRNA from 1 species